rnacentral:rRNA from 1 species
GACGAACGCUGGCGGCGUGCUUAACACAUGCAAGUCGAACGGUAAGGCCCUUUCGGGGGUACACGAGUGGCGAACGGGUGAGUAACACGUGGGUGAUCUGCCCUGCACUUUGGGAUAAGCCUGGGAAACUGGGUCUAAUACCGGAUAGGACUACGCGAUGCAUGUCGUGUGGUGGAAAGCUUUUGCGGUGUGGGAUGGGCCCGCGGCCUAUGAGCUGGUUGGUGGGGUGAUGGCCUACCAAGGCGACGACGGGUAGCCGGCCUGCGAGGGUGUACGGCCAAGCUGGGACUGAGAUACGGCACAGUCUCCUUCGGGAGGCGUCUGUGGGGGAUAUUGGACACUGGGCGCAAGCCUGAAGCAGCGACCCCGCGUAAAGGAUGGCGGCCUGCGGGUUGUAAGCCUCUUUCAAUCGGGACGAAGCGCAAGUGACGGUACCUAUAGAAGAAGGACCGGCCAACUACGUGCCAGCCUCCGCCGUAACAC